AGUAAGUGUAGGGAAUAUGGAUAGUGCAUGGCUGUGCCCCCUUUUCUGACAGGACUGGUUUUUAGACUGCCACCGAUAAGGACAUCAAAAUGGGCUUCAUCUUCAGUGAACCUGGUUUUCUGGGAAUUAGAGGCCACUGUUUUAGGCAAAUAUGACCACUAGUGGAUUCGAGUCACCAUAACAGUUUGAGAUCGGUUCAAAGUAUAACUCAAGCAAAGUUCUUGGGUGAGUGCCCAAUCCAUUUGUCUCUGAAGGACAGAGUUGUUUUUGUAGAUUUCCUAAGGGGAUUCUGAUUGGCUCUUUGGGGGAAAUCUUGAUAGUCCCAAAGCAGCCUGGAUCUCCUUAAUAUUCUCCAGGAGCUAACUGAUCCUUUGAGAAUGUUUACAUGUGGUCUUUCCCUAGAGAUGCAUUAACCCCGUGGACGUUAAGGCUGCCUGGAUCUGCAGUAGACUCUUCUGGAAUCAUGAAGUAGGAGAAAAGCCCUCAUCUUUGCUUUGAAGUGUAAACUAAUUGCUCAGUGAAAAUAUUGUAAAGAACCGAGGAGAGUAUGAUAGAUCAAAGAGUGCAAUCUUUAACUGAUGCAAAAGGUCUGAUAUGUAGCUGAUGCUGCUAAGGUAGGUAUAUGAAAAUUCUGCUGGAAGUAAAUCAAGGGUGGUGCUUCUUUAGUGGAUUAAAGCAUUUUUAAUAAGUGAUGAAUUUGCCUUGUGUUUUUUAAACUGAAACUACCAAGUCACAUUGUUGAUUUUUGCUGGGGAGGAAGGAGAUUGACAUUGCAGCAUUAUUCACUGUGGCUUUCUUUUCUUUUCUUUUUUUUUUCUUUUUUUCUAUUUUGCAUAGAAUGACUUUAUGCAAAUGGUACAUUUUUUUAAAAGAUGGAAUCACAAACUGUAGGAUUUCUUGGAGUUUUGUUUGCCAUAUAGGUCCAAAAAUUCUCACCAUGGGCAUAAAGAAAAAGUCCAAGUAGCGGACCUGAGUUGGAAUGCUGAUUCAACCACUAGCUGGAGAAGACUCUGAGAAUUGUUACAAUCUGAGAGAAAGACAUUGUGUAUCUAAAAUGAGGUUUUCAUUCAUAAAGGACUUUUUCUUAUGCUCACAUAUUGGUUACCUUUUAGUGAUGUUUGAAGCCAUGAGUAAAAAUCCUGAGUUGCCCAAACAACCCUUUCCAUUUGACUUUCUUGAAUAGUUUGACUACUUCAAUUCAAGAAGAAAGCCAGUUGAUAGCUAUUAUACUUAUCCCCCUACUUAAAAUAAAGUAGUAGUAAGAAAAAGUCUGUUUUUCUCACAGAUUAUUCUGUACAUAUGUGCAUGUAAGUAUAAAUAUAGAUGUGCAGUUUAAUGCUUUAGAGUAUGCAGAAAAACUAAAAUCACCCCAAG